rnacentral:lncRNA from 1 species
AACAAUACAAUACAUACGUACAGCAGUAGCAAUUCCAGCCAACCCCCAUCCCCUUUCCCUUCACAAUUCCAACACUACAAUACGAUAAACAACAUCCAUACAGUACCAAAACAGCCCCUGCCAGCGUCUUCCUCUUCCCCAGACGCAAAUCCAAAAAUGUCAAAGCAACAACAGUCCAAAUCUCUGCAACAGCCGCCCAUCUUAAUCUUGUCAUCCGGAUUUCGUGGGAUUUGGGUUGAUUUCUUGUAAAAACGAGCAGCUCUUUGGUUCUUGAAAUUUUUUGAAUUGAGGAUUGAGUGGGAGAAUUCCUAUUCUAUCCUUUCCCCCGAGAAUCCGAGCCCUAAUUCCCCCAUCUAUAUAAUACCCCUUCUUAUUCAUUGUUUAGGAGGUUUUUUGGUUCUUGUUUUUUUUUUUUUUUGGAAUUUUUUCUUGAACAAUUAAUUUUUGCACUUGAGAAAUUUGGAAUGCAUUUUUAGUUCUAGGUUCUGAAAGGGUCUUCGUUUAAAAUCGAUUUGGAUAUUCUGAUUUUAUCGCUCGAGUUUUGAAGUAAGUGGUGAAGUCGCUUUGAGCUUGUAGCCGUCCCGAUUCGCUGCUCUCGAAAAGGUAAACCCCCUUUUGAUUUUAACUCAUUUCAGUUUGUUUUGUUGCUUCCUCGAUUGACUUUGUUCUUUGCUUGGCUCAUGGCUGUUGUAUGAUAAAAGGUUGCUUGGUUUCGAAUUAAUGCAUAUUCGUCGAUUACCACUUGUUAUCGUCCUUAUGAUUUAUUACAUCUUGAAUAGUGCACCAGGUUACAUCUACUAUAUGUUUUGGACGUUUUUGAGUAUGUGAAAUAAGUUUGAAUUCAUUUUUGUGUUCUCAUUUCCUUUAUUAUUAUUUUUACUAUAAGUAGGCUAAUUCUUGAGCAUAAGUUAAGCAUUUGCCUGCUGAUCAGUUUCUGGUUAUUUUUUAUUUUUUAUUUUUUUAUUUUUUUUUUGCUAUCUUAUUGGCGUUUGUUUCCCAUAAAUGAAUCGAUCUUGAUGGCUUGUGGGUUCUAGACUCUUGACGUUGUAUUAGAGUGAGUAUGCAUAGUUAUUUGAUUUUUGUGCUCAAAUGAACAUCAUCUCGUGAUUUGAUCAAAUUAGAUGAUUUAUGGUUUGAUAAUUUCUAUAAGCAUCUCUUUGUUAUUGAUUUGCCUUGGUCUUCAUAUUAAAGUUUUUUUUAAGUUUCCACUUAAAUAGUGUAUGAUCCUUGUAUUUUGCAAAUAUGUUAUUUCCUCUUUGCCUUAAUAUGGAGUCACUUGUUUACUUGUUCAAGUCCACCAUUGCUAUUGAUUUUCUCUAUUGUGUUGGCCCCUUUGUGGAUGGUAGUAGUGUUCCAACUUUUUGUUUAAUGCUUGAGAGGUGUCGGUGUUUUGUUCAUUGUCCAUUUCACAUCGCUAUGGUUGUUUUCUUCCUCUUGUGUAUUUUGUUUUCUUUUAUAUAGUAUUGUUUUCUUGUUAAGAGAAUAGGACUAGUGCAUUCGCUUUUGUGUAACUUCCUCACUUACUUACUUUAAGGGAUGUUUAAAUAUUGCUCAUCAAAAGUUUAACAACUCCAAUUUGCUUUCUGUUAGCAUGAGUUUGAAAUGUUUUGUUAGAUAGUUGCACUAGUGUGUAGUUAUUUUAUUAAAUUGUCAACAUAUAUUAAUUAUCAUAUGCAAGGUAAAUCCAUCCGUAUUGUGCUUAAGCUAGGAGUCAAAUUUUUGCAAGUAUGAGUCGCUUGAAAUCUCAGUAUGUUGGUUCAUUUCAUCGAAUGUUUUCUCCAAUAUUAAAUUGUCAAUGGACGAUUCUUAUGUGUUUUGUUUUUUUUUUUGUUUUGUUUUUUUAUGUAUGUGAUCUAUCGAGGAGUCCUUUGGGACUUGGGCUUCUACCCUUUGCAUUACAAAUGGGCCAUUUAGGCCCAACGUUUUCCUUUAUCAAGUCAACCAGCUUAAAGUCGACGAACAGGUCUCAAAAAGUAUAAAAAGAGGUUGUAUACAAGAUGUAUACAGCUGUAUACACUUAUAUACAGGUAAAAAAUGUAGGAAUACAGGGAUGGGACGAAGUAUAUGUGUUUGGAAGCAAGAAAUACAUGAAAAGAGCUGAUAUACAUGCCGAUAUACACUGAUAUACAUGAGCUGUAUACCAAAAACGGGUUUUGUUUAAACCCCAAAAAACAGUAUGUUGGUUCAUUUCAUCGAAUGUUUUCUCCAAUAUUAAAUUGUUAAUGGACGAUACUUAUGUGUUUUUUUUGUUUUUUGUUUUGUUUUUUUAUGUAUGUGAUCUAUCGAGGAGUCCUUUGGGACUUGGGCUUCUACCCUUUGCAUUACAAAUGGGCCAUUUAGGCCCAACGUUUUCCUUUAUCAAGUCAACCAGCUUAAAGUCGACGAACAGGUCUCAAAAAGUAUAAAAAGAGGUUGUAUACAAGAUGUAUACAGCUGUAUACACUUAUAUACAGGUAAAAAACGUAGGAAUACAGGGAUGGGACGAAGUAUAUGUGUUUGGAAGCAAGAUAUACAUGAAAAGAGCUGAUUUAUAUGCUCAUAUACACUGAUAUACGCCCAGUGUAUACGCAAAAAUGGGAAUUGGAUUAGCCCAAAAUUCCAGCGAAUUUGGCCCAAAAGGAGGCCCAAAUUCAUUUUCUCCCUUACUCUUUAAUUAUUUAAUUGUGAUUAUUUAUUGUUUGUUGUUUAACUCUAACUUUAUAAUUUUUAAUUAACCUAAUUAGACUCCCCAAAAGAUAAGUUAUCUUCUUUGUGUUGGUUAACUUUU